CCUACGGGAGGCAGCAGUAGGGAAUUUUCGUCAAUGGGCGCAAGCCUGAACGAGCGAUGCCGCGUGAGUGAAGAAGGCCUUCGGGUCGUAAAGCUCUGUUGCGGGGGAAAAAAGGCAGCAUCAGGAGAUGGGUGCUGACUGAUGGUGCCCCGCCAGAAAGUCACGGCUAACUACGUGCCAGCAGCCGCGGUAAUACGUAGGGGGCGAGCGUUAUCCGGAAGGAUUGGGCGUAAAGGGUGCGCAGGCGGUCCUGCAAGUCUGGAGUGAAACGCAUGAGCUCAACUCAUGCAUGGCUUUGGAAACUGGAGGACUGGAGAGCAGGAGAGGGCGGAGGAACUCCAUGUGUAGCGGUAAAAUGCGUAGAUAUAUGGAAGAACACCAGUGGCGAAGGCGGCCGCCUGGCCUGUUGCUGACGCUGAGGCACGAAAGCGUGGGGAGCAAAUAGGAUUAGAUACCCCAGUAGUC
rnacentral:rRNA from 1 species